UGAAAGCUGAUGCCAAUGAUUAAGGAGCCUAUUCGCGCCUAUAAAAGUAAAACAUAUGAACACGAUUUGUAUAUCAAGAAAUGGCUACCGGGAAAAGUUUUUUUCUCUGGGAGGUGGUUCUCUUGAGUUUCAUGCUCUUCUUGGCCUCUGCAAUGGGAUUAAGGCAACUGCAAGAAUCUUACAAGCCUCAUGCAACUGCAGAGGAUGCUACUUGGGGAGGCAACUAUAAUGCUAGGCCUCCUGCCGUCCAAUUAUGAGCUUCUUCUAAUGCUCAAGUUAUUAAUUCAGCAAGAAAUAGAAUCAAUAUAAUUAGCUAUGAUAGUUUAAGUUUGGGGCUCGUUUCUUUUGCAGCUUAUAUUUGUGGCUUGGCCUUGUAUACUAAUUUCAUCUAAUGAAAUUUGUUUCUGAUUAAAAAAAACAAUGCAUUUAUUAGACCAAUAAUAAAUUAUUCAAACCCUAAUUCAAUGAUCCCAAUUACUAGAUGUACG